rnacentral:snRNA from 1 species
AAGCAACAACGGAAGUCGAUUCU